GGCCCGGUGCGCGGAAGUGGCAAACGCGAGGGCGGGGCACCGCUCGUAUCCUGGUUCAAGUCCAGGCUGGGCCUCCA
rnacentral:tRNA from 1 species